ACCAUGCAAUACACUUUCACACACAAAAUUAAAAAUUAAUAAGUUUUAAAGAAUAAACACAAACAACCAAUAAGUAUGUGUGGAAAUCGUCAACAUUGUUAUCCACCAAAUGGAUGCAAACUAAAAGUAGAUUGCAUCCUACUCUAGUCAGAAUAGCUAGCAUCAAGAAAAAAAGAAACAAAAUCCAGGAAGAUUUGAGAAAUAUAGGGAAACAAGAAUCCUUAUUCCUGGAUAGUGGUAGUGAAAACUGAUACAGCCAGUAUGCAAAUAAGUAUAUCGAUUUCUCAUAAAACUAAAACUAGAAUUGUCAUAUUCCUCCACUAUACCCUCCCAUUACAGAGAUGCUUGUGCACCCAUGUUUAUUGCUGAGCUAGUCAAAAUACACAUGAAAGGAAAUUAGCCAACAUGCACGUGACACAUACACACAUUUAAGUUCUUUUCAGCCAUAAAUAAAAAUUAAAUUAUUAAUUUUCCAGAAAUAUGCUUGGAACUGGAUAACAUAUUAAUCGGGUUAACCCAGUCUCAGAAAGACAAAUACUGCAUGUCUUCUCUUCAAUGUAUUUUUUGCUUCUAAUUUAUUUUUAAAAAUGUGAUAAAGUGGGAGCAAAUGUGGAUAGAGAUCAAGAAAUGAGAAACAUGUCCUUAUUUAGGACAGGAAAGUUUUAAGGGAGAAGAGUGGAAUGUUAAUAGAAUGUAGGUGACAUAAAAUUGCAAAAAGAGACACUGGAGACAGAGGCAGACAGAGAAAUGAGAUAAGUAACCAUCCAUGAAAAUACUAUAAAGAAAUCCGUUACUUUGUAUACUAACUUAAGAAAAAGAAUAUGUGUAAAAUAAUUUUAAAAUAUGGAUAUCAAGACUUCAGCCCUUAGGGACUCAAAUUUAAUUGUUUCAAGCAUCCAACUUCACUUAAAGCAAAACUCUGACACUGAAAUUUUUAUACUAAUGAGCUGAAAACUGUGCCCUUCAAUCUCACUAUGCAGCCAAGGUUGAGAAUCAAUGAUGUAAUCUAGUCCCAUCCUAAUUUUAAUUUUGUAUUCUGGAAGAUGUAAUGGUAAGAAUUCCCACAGGUGUGGUUGAAUUUUUCAAGGUGAUGACUGGUGCAUAGUAAAAAACCCCAUAUAUGAUCCAAUGUGUUCACAUAGGGAACAGGAAUACUAUGCCACUGUUGAUAAUACUUUCCUAUGACUAUUCAUAGACCCCACUUAUCUAUCCAUUUAUUCAUGGAUAAUUAUUAUCCAAUAAAUUAUCUGAAUAUGAUUUUGGUCAUUUGUUGUGGUGGGUUUUAAAUAGAAUGUACUAACAAACUUAAAAUAUCCUCUUUAGAGGAUUUACAUUGCAAUGCAGGUCAUGAAAAUAAAGGAAUAUAGAAUCAGACACAAAAUAAUUACGGAGUAAGUAUGACUCUGAAAUACUAAUCAAAUAAUGCCUACUUCUUGAGAAGUGAUAGGGAGUCCUUUCUGUGAUGACAUUCAUGUAGAUCAUGGAUGAAGGUGGAAACUACACACACAUCAGAGAAAACUGGAGCCUGACUGGUAAGAAAAAAUUGCAUAGAGACGCCAGCAUUGAGUUAUCAAUGUGUCCAAUGUGUACUUCCUCAGGAAAUAUAAUGAACUUUGUAGUGUAUGCCUACCUUUAGAAAACCUGCAUUAUCUUUUAAUUGACAGAAACAUGAUUUCAUGUAGUAUUUCUUUUUCUAAUUCCACAUAAAUAAUUUAUGAAUACAAUAUCUGUAUUUUAUAAAUGUGGGUGAAGAGAUUAAUAUUCCAUACCAUGUUAUAAUCAUGAAAGAGUAAUGAAGUGGGAUCUAAAAGGUAUGAUUCUAAGUGGUGUUUGACAUAAUGGAACGAUCUUCUCCCACAUUCGUCCAUCAUGGGUUUGCAUUUCUGUCCAUCAGAAAAUGUUUGAAAACAUCCUGUCCUUGGAUGAUAUUCUCUCCACUACACAACACCAAAUAGCAGAUUAAUAUGAAUGUUGGUAAAGGAAAUAUUUGGUUAUUCAAAAAUAAUUCUGAUAUGUGAAAUUUCUUAGCUAAAAAUCAACUUUAAAUAUUAAUCAUUGACAGAAGUUAUUGUGCAUCUUGUCCACUUAUAUUUUAAAAAUUUUUACAAUGCUUGGCAAAGGAAAGAUCCUAAAUAUUUUUAUGACUAUAGAUAAAUCCAAUACAAGGACCUCAGUUCCAUGAUCUGCAAAUUUGUUUAUUUCUAUAAACAAAUACAUCCCCAAAGUUCCAAUCCUGUUUCGCUGUUUCAGCUGGGUGGAUUCAGUUUUUGUUAACUCCUGUUCUGCGGUAAGGAAGGCAGAACUAUGCCAAACAGAAUGACUUAAGCCCAUAUGGAAAAGGACACCUGCAAAACUAGACUUUUCCCUUCAAGCCUCAUAGCAUUUUAAUAACAAACCCAUUGCUGGGAGAUGUCAGCAAGAAUCAUCUGCCUUAUAAAAGCAUCGCUUUUCUCAGAUAAUAAAGGCAGAAGUACUAGGUAUGAAAUGUGCAAGAGAAAUAUUUCCCAUCAAUAACCUUAAUGAAUUAACCAAUCGAUGGGCAGCUAUGUGUGAAGGAAGCUGUUUGGGCAGAGAUGCUUAAUACUAAAAGUGCAGGGCAAGUGCUUGGGCAACUCAGGGCCUGACUUCUCUAAUAACAGGCUUCUAAAUUAGGUUACUUCUUGCUGUGGCUGAAGACACUUUUAAUAACAAGGGGAAAAGAAAGCCUACUGGGUAAACUUUGGGAGCCUCAGAAGGUUUGCUCUGUGGUUUGGCAUCAAGCCUCCUGUUGUAAAAAUGGUAAUAAUUAUAUUUAUUUUUUUCUGCUUUCUCUGCUGAAAAUGUGUGAAAUAAGACUGUCAAAAAGACAUGAUCUAGUGUGAAGAAUAUUAGAGAAUGUAUUUGCAAGAGAGAAAGGAAUAAGAAAAGACAAAGGAACACCUUUUAAUUAGCAAUAUUUUUAAACGCAGCAUCCUCUAGCUCCCAGAAAUUCUGAUGAACAAAUGUGUGUGAACCUGAAAAUAUAUUAUGUUUAUUAGUUAAACAUAGUGCUAGACAAUUUCAUGCAUAUAUAUAAUGUAUUCCAAUUGCUUUCAUCCUCAUUUGUUAAAGUUUUGAUGCAAUAUAUAUUUUAUCAUAUUCUUCCCCUUGCCCCCUCUCCUGCCAGAUCCUUUCCAAUGCUACUCAUAAAACUUCAUACUUUUUCUCUCUUAAAAAAAUAACCAAUCUCAAAACCAAACCAAUCUUGACAAAUGUACACACAUAGACACAAACACACAUAAUACAUAGAUAAAUAUUAAAAUCAUGGCAUCUGUUUUGUGUUAUUUAUCCUGAAUAUGAAAAUGUGUUUGUUAUACUCAGUGCUACUCUGUUGAAGAAAACUUACUAUUCUCUCCAAGCAGCUAUCAAUUGCAAAUAGCUUCUUGAUUAGGCAUGGGUUUUUGUGUCCACUUCCCCUUCUCCAUUCUGGGAUUUUUGUAUUUUUUGAGUUUCUGUACAUCUUAUGCUGGCACUCAUAAUAUUUGUGAGACCCCAUAGUCAUAAGCCAUGUUGAGUUAGGAAAAGGCAGUCAUCCACCAUAUCUGGCUCUUAUAAUCUUCUGCCUCCUUUUACAUAUGUAUCCCUAAUCCUUGAGGGGAAAGAUAUGAGAUGUCACACUAAGUGUUUAGUACUCCAAAAUCUCUCACUGUUUGCACAUUGUACAGUUAUAGUCCUAUGUGAAUUACCAUCUACUACAAGUAGGAACUUUUCUCAUGAAGGUUGCUGAUGUUAUAUGUCACUAGGAGACAUUUUAUUACUAUGUUCAUUUAGAAGUACAUUAACAGUAUGUUUAUUUAUAUAAUAUCUUUUUAAUUUCACACUUCACACAGCUGAAUACCUCAGCAGUACACAUAUCUAUUAAAUAAGACUGAUGCUAUGUAAAAAUUACUCAGAUAUUGUAUCUCAGCAAAUUGUUAUUAAGCACCUAUGAAGGUCACAUAAUAUUGAUAAUGAAAUGUUCUACUUUAGUCAUAUAUGUUUUCUGAAAAUCAGAAGAGGAUAAAACAUUGAAAGGGAUUAUAGGAUUUUAAAAGCUAGUUUGUGGAAUGUGCAGUUACUUGAGGAAAACAAAUGCUGCCUUUCACACAGGAACCUCUUUUGGUAGCAGGAGCAUUUCCUGUGUAUUAGAUAAUUAAAGCAUCCUUGCCCUACAAUGUAAAAUCACUUAAUUGGUAUUGCUUCUGACAUCAUGAUAAAACUCUUGUUUAUUAUGGGUUAGGAACAGAAAAUAAUGUUACAUUAUGCUUCUAAAUGACUCUCCUUUUACCAAGAGUAUUCUUUAUCCCUGAUCCACAUAAUAAUAUUUAUAUCAAAGAUAUUAUCAUCACCUCUAAGGAAGUAUGGGCAGUCAUGAAAAGAAUUGUCACCUACCUAAGCUAAUGGCAAUUUAAUCACAAGGUAAAAUGCUGUAGUCACUCACUACAUUCUGAUGGGAAUGGAACUGACAUCUCAUUUCCCUCAUGAAUUUUAAUGGGAAAUAAACCACUAUUGCCCAAAGUGACUACUGCAGUCUUCCAUGACACUGUAAAAGUUGUGGGUUUAUAAGCUGACAAGUACUUUCUUGUACCUUCUUUCAUAAAGGAAGUGUUCUCAUUCCACAUCUAUUAAAUGUUUAAAACUACAUUCUGAAGGCAACUUUCAUCUCUGUUUCCUCAGCAGUGAUGAUCUAGAUGCUUGUCAGGGCAUAUCAUAGGAGAUGAGUCUUACAUUGGGAGCUCUCCAGGCCAAUUAUCAGGAUUUUUAUCUUGAGGACCUGUCUUCAAAUAUAACCUCUUUCAAGGUUGUCUAGAGGUGGAAAUGGGGGAAAGACUCAGUAAUAUUUCUGUCCAAAUGUUGUAGUCCAUUUUAAAUUAGAGUCAAAAGAGUUGAUAUAUAAUUUCUAUCCAUAAUGCAUACUUCAGAUAUAUAGCUUCCUUUUUCCUUUAAAUGUCUGAAGGCUUUAUUUCACAAGGACAGCAUAGGUAUUCCUAAGUAAGCUUGAAUGUUUCCUAGGUGAAGAUGGGAUUAUUGAAUAAGGUCGACAAAGUUCAAGUUAAAUAUAUGAGCCAAAUGGCAUAGAUUUACAUAAUGCAUUUCCAUAGGUGCUACCUUGAAGGACUUGGGCAGAUUGUGAUCUAGAAAUAGACUGAUAUAGGAUAGUACUCUGAGUCACCUCAUUUGAGAAAACCCAACCUUCCUCUUUUAACGUCUCUAGGCAUUUCUCAAGCAUGUCAGGCAGGUCUCGUUGUCUUUAAUGAUUUGGAAGGAUGCCAGCCUGUCUCUGCCACUCUUGGCUGCUAAAAGGAUCAUGGAGCCACAGUGACAUCUGAGUCCAGAGGAAAUUAAUGGCACAGCUGAGUAUCAUCAGGGUAAUGAUGGCAUCUCAUCACUCUCCUGGUCUAUUAUUUGGGACAGAAAUAUAGCAGGGGAUUUUCUUGGCAAUUCAAUUACAAGAAUUAGAUGAAUAAUGGGGAAAAUGUAGGGGCAACUAGAGGAAUAUUUAGAGAGAAACCCAGAGUGUGUUUAACUUAAUUUUUCUUGUUCAAAAAAUAUAAUCAUGAACAGCAGAAUUUUUCUGUUUUAAAAUAUUUCCUAAACAAUUCAAUUUUCUAAAAAUUAAUCACAGAAAUGAUGAUUUCUGUUAACUGUGUUAGGGUUAGGAUUUCAAGAAGUGAAUCCUUGAACACUACAUUCUGCUGCCUGUCUUCCCUUCCACCUGGGACAAGAUAUCUGUGACCUUUUUUGACCUUAUACAAAUACUGAAAGAAAUUACAUAGCUUCUCACAUUUGUAAUCCAAUUAUUAGCCUUCAAGGAACUAGUAAUAAAUGUAUAGAUGUGUUUCUUAUUCUUCUGCAACACCCUCUGCUUUACUCAGAGGUGUUAUACAAAUUUCAUUACUUUUCUCAUAUAAAAGGUCACGGUAAUUCACAGUGCUACUGAACUGGAUGAUGCUUCUUGAACUGACUUUCCUGUGGUCCAAGCAUGUCUCACCUCCACCAGCUGCCUGAGACUGCUUUGCAAAUAACAUCUCAAACAUGUGAGUCCUUAUCUCAGGUAUACUUUCUGGUAGUAUUGUCUAACACAAGUAAAUUAGCAAAUUCAUCUCUCUGGUUUUCUGUCAGCCUAUGUAUCUCCUUGCCACUGUCUGAAAAUUCCAUACAGCAUAUUGGGUCAUAUUUUCCUCACCUCACCAACUUUUCCUUGAUUCACAAUCUACUUUCUUUCCUACUCAAUGUUAGGUCCUUUUUCUGCACUUAGGCUAAUCUGUGUUGGCCAAAUAUUCUUGGAUGUGUGGCCUUCCCCUAGAGCGUCUUUGACUUACCAGGGGUGACAUAGAAAGCCUUUUGCUCUUCUAGUAGCUAGCAAUUGCCAAUUACUCCCGAGUUAGCAGGCCUAACUCCACUUUCCAUGCUGGGGUUUGGCUUGGCUCAGGCUUGCAACAGGUCUUGUGCAUCAUGUUACAGUCACUGCUAUUUCACAUGAGCACCUAGCUGCCCUGCUGUUUCCAGAAGACAGUUUUCUGGCAGUCAUCUGUAGCUCCUUGCUCUUGCCCACUUUCUACACAAAUUUCUGGAAUGACACCUGAGCUUUGGGAGGAGGGGCUACACUCUAUAUGUUUCAUUUAGGGCUGUUCAUUCUGAAGCCUCUUAUUCUCUCUGCACCUUGGCUAAUUGUGGCUCUCUAUGUGGAUCAUUGUCUACUGCAAAUAGAAGCUUCUCUGAUAAUGGUGGAGGAAUGUAUGUAGAUAGAUCUUAUCAAUCUCUCAUAAACCUUAUAUUUGUGGUCCUGUAUGUUCUAAUACUUUUACUGGUUAAUAAGUAAUAUUCAAAAGAUUAGUACAAGAGAGUGAUCAUACAGCCUUAGAAUCAAUUCUCCCUGACUCUGAGCAUUUCAGAUAUACUUAAGUAAACUCAAGCUGUGUCUCUAUGAUGGUUCUUUGCAAUUGUCAAUUUGACACACUAGACUAGCUUCAGCUGUGAGCAUGCCUUUGAAGGAUUUCUUUUCUUAUUAAUAAUUAAUUAGUUAAGUUUCUUAUACGUGCCUGAAUGGAAGUGUAUGCAUCUCAAGUGUAUACAGAGAAGCCAAAACAGGUAACAGAGUUCUUGGAUCCAAGUUACUGGUGUUUUUAAGUCACCCAAGGUGGAAACAUGAAACAAACCUGAGUCUUCUUGAUGAGUAGCAAGUAUUAAUAUCUGCCGAGCCAUCAAUCCAGCACAAUUUUCUUAUUUAGAAAAAUUGAGUUAGGAUGGCUCAUCCUGAAUAUGGAUAGCACCAUUCCAUGGGCUAGACCCUGGGAUAAAUGAAAAAGAGAGAGGAAGCUGAAUAUUAUCACGAACACAUUAAUUCCUGCCUGUCUGCUCUGGACUGUGGAUGUCACGUGACUAGUUGCUUCAACUUCCUGCCGCCUUGUCUUCUCUGCAAUGAUGGGCUAUAUCUUGCAAAUGUGGGAUAAAUAAACAUGUUCUUUCCUGAGCCGCUUUUGUCAAAGGUUUUU